rnacentral:lncRNA from 1 species
AUAAUUUUCAAUAACGAUCGUUCAUUAUUUAAAGGGUUUUUUGUGCAAUUUCUUAAAUGAAAAAGAGAUUAAAGGAUUAUUCUAGUAGCACAAAAUUUGGGUAGAAAAGAAGAAAACUGUAUUAUCAUGAAGAAACAUAUCACACUUUUAUGCCCCAUUGUGGUGGCAUUACAUAAUAUAAAAUGUAUUUGUUGUUUCGUUUAACGAUUGCUAGAUAAAUCUUCUUUUAAAUAAUAUGCUUAUAUAUUGAUACCGGGUGUGAUUUUAUAAGUGAAGAUACGAAAUGAAUUAUUUACUACAUAUAUCUAUAAUUUAAAGCGCA